ACUCAGGGUCCCCAGGAGCUCUGGCAGGAGCUGGAGCAGGGAGGAGCUGCCCAACCUCUCCAGGUUUAACCUCGAGUCUUCAUCAGCUGCCAAGGCAAGAAACAGGCACAGGGUGACCCUUUGGAGUUUCAGUUGCUCUGACCUGCAGGGAUGGAUGUGACUGUAGCUCCUCACAUGGACAUGUAAGAAAACAACCUGAAAUAAUCUCCCAACAUUUCAAAAACUUGCACAAAGAUCAGAAAUUUGAGGACCUUGGACGUGCCUGUUAUUGGUUUACUCACCGCAUAAAAGGACAUUUGCAAAGGACAGCAGGGAUUUCAUUAUAGGACUCAAAAUAAGAAUACCAAAACUUCCCAGUGCUGAGUGGAGACAAUCUGCAUCUCUGACCAUGGAUUAUUCUUUAAAUCAGAGCACUGCUAGCAGAGACUCUUUACAUUAGCAGGAAGAUCUGAGCACUGACUUGAACCUAAUGCAAUCAUGGCUAGAGCCAGCUAUGAUGUGACAGAUAUUACUCAGAUAUUGAGUCAGGGGUACCUGGAAAUGCAAAUUACAUUGUGGAAGGCUUGAGGAGAUGCUGGCUUAGAGAGCCCAAGAUUUUCAGAGCAGACUGAGGACUGCUGAUACCUAUAAACAAGCAGAACAACUGCUGCAAAGCAGGUAAGAACAGCCACUUUUUAAUAGUCAGCUUUAUGCAAUAACUUCUGGGUUGGUUUGCCUGUUCUUUCAGAACUCAUUUCACAAAGUCUUCCAGUACCAGUCAGGUCUGAUGAGAGCAACCUUCCAGAUUCUGCUGUGCAUUUUUUCUGAGCCAUUUCAAACUUUGAGCAUCACUUUCUCAAGCAAAGAUUUGUUCUUUUCCUGGGCUAAAUUUGAAUUAGUGCAAACAAAGAGCAUUUUCAAUACAUAGUGUAAGAGAGAUUUGCCUGUUCUUGAUGUUAGCACUAGGUUUCCCUGUUUUUAAACACAAAAUAGCUUAUUUCAAAGAGUAGAAACAGGAGAGAUUGUACAGCAAAGUUUCUUUAAGUCACCCAAUGCCUAUGAGAGCUCAGACACUGAAUGCCAGCUCACAUUCAGUGCUGCAAGGCUCAGAUACCUUUUUCUCCUCAGUGCAUCCUUUUGUUCCCUGGAUCUCAAAGCAGCAGGGGGAACCAUUUAGGGCACCCAACCUCCCCAUUGUGCAAGACCAGCCCCCACUGCUGUGUCCCUUGUGCUGCUGCUGUCCUGCUUCUCCUGCAGCUGAGCAGCACAGAUCCAGGCCCCUUGGAAAGCACACUGCUGCUUUCCCUGCCCCAACCCAUGCAUGA